rnacentral:lncRNA from 1 species
CUCGUUUUAUUGAAUCAUUGUCAUUAUCCCACAAUGAUGAUUUUGAGUUUAAUGAAAUUAAACUCCGCGUUAAACUCUCAUUAGAGAUGGCCUAAGUGUCACCAUUUAGCCAUGUAAGGGUUUGUUUUAUAUGUGACUGGGUCCGGUCAGCUGUUUUGGCUGACUCGGUCCAGUCAGCUUGUUUGAUAAAGCGAUAAAAUGUCUUGACUCGGUCCAUUGUUCUGACUCGGUCAUGUAAAAGUCAGCUUGUUUGAUAAAGCGAUAAAAUGCUUUGACUCGGUCCAUUGCUGUGACUCGGUCAUGUAAAAUCGUCUGAUUCGGUCGUUCCUAGAAAAGAGAUUGACCGAGAAAUUUCUCCACUUUGCCGUGAAGCUUUGAACUCCCCCCAUCGUGAACGACACAAUGCUAUCUCCUUCAUUGGCCCUUCCUAGCCUGCAACCUCCUUCCUUCUUCGUCUCCUUCUUCCGUCGGCGCCGACCAUUCAAUCGAUUUAUUCUUCCUUUAAUUUUUGCAUGUAAGGGCUUUCUUCUUCAAUCGGUUUCUUCUUCCGUUAAAUUUUGCAGGAGAGAGACAAUUUCUUCAAUCAAUUUAUUUUUCCUUUAACUUUUACAGGAGAGAGAAUAUCGAUUGGUCGGGAGAAAGAUAGAAAAGGAGAACGUGUUUGCUUUGAUUUUUUUUCUGCAAUGUAGUAAUACCAAGUGACUUUUUUGUAUUGACUACUAUCUCCAUCGAUUUCUAUACACAGUGUGAUCUUUUGAUAGGCUUGUUUAUUGUUGCUUCGUUUCUAGUGCCACAUUUAUGGAAGAGACAAAAAAAUUGGUUUGACUCUUUGAAUUUCCAUGUGAGUUUUGUGUCUAGCUUUUCAACAAUUCUAUUCUUAUUGCUUUCAAUCGUGAUCUUGUUCAUGAUAAAACAUUGUAUCUUGUAAAAACACUACUUUAUAUGAAGUCUACAUUUCCAUGUUGUGUUCCAAAUUUCAUUUGUUUCUAAUAGGCUUUAACAACUCAACUUUUCUGUUUAAUUUUUGUGUAUCUAGGAAAUUUAAAACUUGUUAAUUGUUAGGUACUGGGUGACAUGGAUAGAAUUGUUUCCGUGUCAUCUACUUCCUUUAGUUUAUUUUUUUCAGGGAGAGGAGUCUGAGGAUGAUUCAAAUGAUGGUGAAGUAUUGUAUUGAAAGUCAAAGUUGGUGUUCCAAAUUGCUUUGUAAUUCGAUUGAAAAAAAAUAAUUCAUGUGUUUUUAUUAUGUUCUCUUUGCGUAUGUGUAUGUAUCAUCAAUGUUCAUUGCC